rnacentral:rRNA from 1 species
UAGCAUAUCAAUAAGCGGAGGAAAAGAAACUAACAAGGAUUCCCCUAGUAACUGCGAGUGAAGCGGGAAAAGCUCAAAUUUAAAAUCUGGCGGUCUUUGGCCGUCCGAGUUGUAGUCUGGAGAAGUGCUUUCCGCGCUGGACCGUGUACAAGUCUCUUGGAACAGAGCGUCAUAGAGGGUGAGAAUCCCGUCUUUGACACGGACUACCAGUGCUUUGUGAUGCGCUCUCAACGAGUCGAGUUGUUUGGGAAUGCAGCUCAAAAUGGGUGGUAAAUUCCAUCUAAAGCUAAAUAUUGGCGAGAGACCGAUAGCGAACAAGUACCGUGAGGGAAAGAUGAAAAGCACUUUGGAAAGAGAGUUAAACAGUACGUGAAAUUGCUGAAAGGGAAACGAUUGAAGUCAGUCGCGUUGGCCGGAACUCAGCCUUGCUUCCGCUUGGUGUAUUUUCUGGUUGACGGGCCAGCAUCAGUUUUGAUCGUUGGAUAAAGGCUGGGGGAAUGUGGCACCUUCGGGUGUGUUAUAGCCCUCGGUCACAUACAACGGCUGGGACUGAGGAUCGCAGCACGCCUUUAUGGUCGGGGUUCGCCCACGUAUGUGCUUAGGAUGCUGGCAUAAUGGCUUUAAACGACCCGUCUUGAAACACGGACCAAGGAGUCUAACAUGCCCGCGAGUGUUUGGGUGGAAAACCCGAGCGCGUAAUGAAAGUGAAAGUUGAGAUCCCUGUCAUGGGGAGCAUCGACGCCCGGACCUGAACUUCUGUGACGGCUCUGCGGUGGAGCGUGUAUGUUGGGACCCGAAAGAUGGUGAACUAUGCCUGAAUAGGGUGAAGCCAGAGGAAACUCUGGUGGAGGCUCGUAGCGACUCUGACGUGCAAAUCGCUUCGUCAAAUUUGGGUAUAAGGGGCGAAAGACU